GAGCUCCUCCUUGGAUUCGCGGGAAUACCGCAACUCUGUAACUUAGAUUAAACAAAUGCCGCUCCGAUUGUUCGAGAUUUGUGAUCAUGAGCUUGGGCUCGAGGCGACAAUCAGUCGCCGAACGUAGCCGCGGUCAAAGGGAUGAACGUUUUAUCUAACAAAGGCACAGAGUAACUCUAUACCUCUCCUUAAAAGAAAUAGUCGUAGCGACACGUGGCAGUAAAUACUUCAAUAGUUUCUAUCCCGCGGCCCGCCACACGCAGAUUUUGUCCUCC
rnacentral:misc_RNA from 1 species